AGUGGCGGACGGGUGAGUAACGCGUGAGAAUCUGCCUUGGGGUCGGGGACAACCACUGGAAACGGUGGCUAAUACCGGAUAAGCCGAUUGGUGAAAGAUUUAUUGCCCGAAGAGGAGCUCGCGUCUGAUUAGCUAGUUGGUGAGGUAAGAGCUCACCAAGGCAGCGAUCAGUAGCUGGUCUGAGAGGACGAUCAGCCACACUGGGACUGAGACACGGCCCAGACUCCUACGGGAGGCAGCAGUGGGGAAUUUUCCGCAAUGGGCGAAAGCCUGACGGAGCAAGACCGCGUGAGGGAGGAAGGCUCUUGGGUUGUAAACCUCUUUUCUCAGGGAAGAAGAUCUGACGGUACCUGAGGAAUCAGCCUCGGCUAACUCCGUGCCAGCAGCCGCGGUAAUACGGAGGAGGCAAGCGUUAUCCGGAAUUAUUGGGCGUAAAGCGUCCGCAGGUGGCGAUUCAAGUCUGCUGUCAAAGCAGGGGGCUUAACUCCGUAAAGGCAGUGGAAACUGAAUAGCUAGAGUGCCGUAGGGGUAGAGGGAAUUCCCGGUGUAGCGGUGAAAUGCGUAGAGAUCGGGAAGAACAUCGGUGGCGAAAGCGCUCUACUGGACGGCAACUGACACUCAGGGACGAAAGCUAGGGGAGCGAAUGGGAUUAGAUACCCC
rnacentral:rRNA from 1 species